AUCUUAGGUGAGUGUGGUUGCAUUCUAAGAUUUACAGGGGCCCGUACCACAGCGACUUCGCUGUUGCAGCAUCAAAACUUCGAACGCACUACUUCUUUGUUCAGAAUCCGCGCCCCGACCGCUUGACGCCAUCGCGCUCAAGAACACUGUUAGCCGACCGCAAUAUUGCGCGCGCCGUUGUUGCUACGGCAGCUUGAGAUUUCACUAGCAGCGGCGGCUUUGUGCUUUGACCUUCCCGCACUUUUUUCGCUACAAGAACAAGGUCCAGCCCUGCAGCAUCGACGUUGUGGCAGACGCGACGGCUCCUCUCAAAGCAUUGCACGACGACUGUGAAGAUAUUGAGUCACGACAAGACCAUCGAAGGACUGCAGUUGUGUAUCUCCUAGAUGGAAUGGAGGUCGACAAAAAAGCGUUGAACUGCUUAGUGGAAAGCACCGGGAGCGGCAUCCACACUUUCACAGUAUGCAAUGGGGAGUGGAUUUCGGGCA
rnacentral:lncRNA from 1 species